rnacentral:lncRNA from 1 species
GGGGAUCCCUUAAUACAAGUAAAAGAAGAACCACCAAAUUCAUUGCUUGGCGAAACUUCUGGAGCAAGCAGUUCUGGGUUGUUGAACCCAUAUUCACUGAACGGAGUUCUGCAGUCAGAAUCAAAAUCUGACAAGGGGAAUUUAUAUAACUUCUCUAAGUUGAAGAAAAGCAGAAAGUGGCUAAAGAGCAUUCUUUUAAGUGAUGAGUCCAGUGAGGCAGAUUCUCAGAGUGAAGACAAUGAUGAUGAAGAAGAAGAACUCAGUCUCAGCAGAGAAGAACUUCACAACAUGCUUCGAUUACACAAAUAUAAGAAACUUCACCAAAAUAAAUAUAGUAAAGAUAAGGAGUUGCAGCAGUACCAGUACUACAGUGCAGGCCUGCUCUCCACAUGCG